UACGUAGGGUGCGAGCGUUAAUCGGAAUUACUGGGCGUAAAGCGUGCGCAGGCGGUUUUGUAAGCCAGAUGUGAAAGCCCCGGGCUCAACCUGGGAACUGCAGUUGAUACUGUCCGACUAGAGUACGAGAGAGGGAGGUAGAAUUCCAUGUGUAGCGGUGAACUGCGUAGAUAUAUGGAGGAAUACCAGUGGCGAAGGCGGCCUCCUGGCUCGAUACUGACGCUGAGGUGCGAAAGCGUGGGGAUCAAACAGG
rnacentral:rRNA from 1 species